CUCUGUCACAAUUGUCUGGGUUUAGAUUUGAUUAUAUUCUUCUUAUCACUUGUUUAUACUAUGCUAUGCAUUCCUUAGCUCUGGCAAAGUGGCUAGUCUUACAGAAAGAAAUCUUGUGUCUUUUUGUUAACUUGAAAAUAACAAAAUGGAGUCUGGUCUGUUCAGAGUGACUCAGAAUAUACACUUUUAGUUUCUAUCAUAGCACAAAAUGUCUGCCGAUAUAAAUACCCUGACAUAACCCCCCUUUAGUGCAUUUCAUAGCCAAAAUUUAUUUAGCUUAUGAAUAAG